AGAGCCGAUGUGGAUGAUGAUCAUUAAAGAAAUCGACUGUCACGUACUUGGUUCCGAUAAGGAUGCCUCCUUUGGAAUUAUUGCAGGCUUCCCAGAAAUGGAUUUGCCUAAACAUCAACUUGGAUUCUCCUGGUCCUGCUGAAACAAAAGUGGAGAAUGGCUUGUAUUGCACGGUGGCGACUACCGUUUCAUUUUCCAUAGUGCUGGGAUGCGUUUGCUGAGGAAGAGAUUGUUGGGUUGAGAUAUAUAUAUAGUCUCAAUAGGGAAAGGAGAGAGAUGGGAUGCAUUUCAUUUAAGUGAUUAAUUAAGGGAUCUUCAAGAGGCAUUGAUAUCAUUGAGUAAGAGGAGGGAUGUGGAGAGUUACACGCCGAUUUGUCUGGAGGAUAGCUUUGAUUCAUCAUUGUUGCCGUCGCAGGCGUUAUACAGAGGAGAUGGGAAGACGAUGAGUUUUGGAGGGUAUGUACAUGCCGUGACAACUUAGGUUAGAGAAAUAGGAAAGUAAAACAAACUGGUCAUUAAAAUUAAUGGGCCUAUUACGUAGCAUAUAUUCGUAGCCCAAUAGCUUAACAUCAUUGAUGACAUGGACAAAUGAUUGAUUAUGAAUAUUUUGUCAUAUGUGGCACACCUAAAAUUGUUUCAAUUUAGUUACUUUUAUAUAGUAGAGAUGGAUUCUGAUAAAUAUUUUUAAAAUUAUCUAUCUAUCUAUAAUAAUAAAGUUGACUUGUCUCUUUCCUUCUGCGUCCACGUCAGCAUAUAUCAUGGAGCUUCUUCUAACAAGUGGCAUCUCCUUUGAGAUUUUCUAAUUCGUUGACGAGAUUUUAGUUGUCGCCCAUUAAAACACAUUAAACCAAUCACGACUAAAAUAAUACGACACUUUAUGCGCAACCCAUUGAGGGCCCAUCUAUGUUCUCUAAGUCUUCGUCUUCUCGGUUGCUCAAUUUUACUGCGCCGAUGAGUGUUCCUCUUACGAACGUUACUGGUUUUAAUUGAAUUAGACUUAAAGUGAUUACAUUAACUUCCUCAGGUCAUUUAACCCACUACGUCUACUUCAAAGACCCCUCUCCACCACCGAUUUGAUAAUCCCUAAAUCCUGAUACUAUAAAUAAGUUGUGAAGCCCUCUCCAAAUCGCACUGCUUCAUCAUAUGCAUGUGAUUGUUUUGUUGCAAACUUUGAUUGCGACAAUGGUUACCUCUCCGAUAAUCUUUUCCGAUUUUAACAUCGUCCGUGUUCUUCAGCCGGUUACUAGGCGUCUCCGUUAUUGAGAGGCAGGCAACGUCAAGAACGGGGAAAACUAAUGGGGUUGACAUGCUACUCCUUGAUGAAAGGGUAUGUUCCCUCAGUUUCCUUCGCAUAUCCAUUUGUAUUCUUAGAUGUUCACCUUACUUAACUUGGCACCGUUGUUCAUGUCUCUGCCUCUUCACUAGGCACUUCUCCAAGGUUCAUAACUGUCCAUCGUCUGAAUACGUUCAAACAUCUCCUGAAAAAGGUUUUGAUGUCACCAGAAGCAACAACCUCUUCAAGCUUACAGAUUCAUCUGUAGUUAUUUGAUUCACUAACGUCACUAAAUUUGUUGAACUGACGGUGGGACCAUCUCCAAUACUGACAGAGCUCUUUAAGUUCCGUAGUGUGUUCAAAUAAUGGCUUUGUCAAAUACAAACACUGAGUUGCCCGACAUCAUAGGGGUGGUUAUCCUCAUCAAGACUACUUCCACUGACCUUUCCCAAACAACUCAGCGAAUUAUGUCAAACAUUCAUAUUAAUGGGUCCAUCCACUGUCUCAGAACUAAUAAGCUCUUUUCAAAUUAUUUACAAUGGUUUUCGAUAAUAUAAUGUUAAUAUUAAACAAUCCUCAUCUGCAUAUGUCCAUCUGUCUGAUCUAUUUCAGUUGGUUUUCUUCUCAGGUCUGCAACUGUCUACCUUAGUGUUUUUGAUGUCCAGGUGAGCCAACUUCACCAAAAGUUAGACAUGUUGGUUGGGUGUGGAGCCAAAGGUCAUUCUUGCCACCAACAUUAAUCCCAAAUUUGUUGGAGACACAUGCAGGCCAGGCCUUCUUAGCUAGGUAGGUUGGGAGAAAAUGAUCUUCAAGCUCAAAACCAAUGAAAUUUGCAAGUUGAUCGAUGUUGACUUAACCAACUUGGGUGAGGGCGGAGGUAAAUGCUCCAAAAGUUUUACAAAAUAUGGUGGCGUAAAGGAACUCGAGUCUCUAAUGGUGUCAGAGCUAAACGCAUACGUCGUCAAUUUUCCUCCGCAUGUACAAUCCCCUCAUGCUACCUUCUCUGUAUAUGUCACAAAACUAUUGCAUUACUGAAGGGCCUAGCUUCAUCUCAUAACAGAAAAUUGAGUUUCUCUGCAAGUGCAAAUUUGAUGGCAUAGAAACCACUAAUAGAUCAUGUUUCUGGCUACAUGUGCUCUGAUGGUGAGAAGCUAUUUGCAACUCACACUAAUACCACCUGUGGUGCAGGAUCAGUGAUCCACUCGCCUCCACUGAAUGAGACCACAACAGCUGCACAAGCUACUGUAGGCGAGAGCUCGGUAACAGAACCACAUGUUGCAGUGGCAGAGUAGGCACUUAAUAAACCACGCGAGGCUAGCUGCUGUAGUAACCUAUAUGAAGAGUUUCCUACAUUUUAUGGAGUUUGAUUUGGGUUGUCUUUUUUUAAACAAUAUUAAUUUUAAUUUUCUUCUUUGUACCGACAUUUGAUUUUACAUUUUUCUCAGCAAUUUAUUUAACCAAUAAAAACAUAUGCAUAUUUCAA